rnacentral:rRNA from 1 species
ACUGCACGCUGGCUGCAGGCCCAACACAUGCAAGUCGAACGAGCGGCGGCCGGGUGCUUACUGUCUGGGAAACUGCCUGAUGGAGCGGGAUAACUCCUGUAUACGGUAGCUAAUACCGCAUAUCAUCGGAUGUGCCCAGAUGGGAAUAGCUAGUAGGUGGGGUAAAGGCUCACCUAGGCGACUAUCUCUAGCUGAUCUGAGAGGAUGACGAGCCGCACUGGAACUGAGACGCGGUCCAAACUCCUACGAGAGGCGGCAGUGGGGAAUAGUGCAAAAUGGACGCAGGCCUGAUACGGCGAUGCCGCGUGUAUGAAAAAGGCCUUCGGGUUGUAAAGUACUUUCAGCGGAGAGGCGUUACCCGCAGAGGAAGCACCGGCUGACUCCGUGCCAGCAGCCGCGGUAAUAC